rnacentral:lncRNA from 1 species
ACCUGACAGGUGGACUUCCCCUAGUGCAUCUGCAACACACUCAUGGCUCUCAGGUCAGUGCAGUCAGAUGAGGAUGAGAGAGUGGAGCCACAGCACUGGCUAGAGAUGGAGAAUCACGUCUCUCUCAGCCACACCCUCUUCAAGAUCGCACCCCUCCUUCCUGUCCUUUCUGUGUGGCAGAGGUGACUGUGCUCUGAAGAUGAGAUCCACUAUCUAGAAGUGAGUUCCAGGUGUGUGCUUUUGGAUAGGUCUGCGAUAUGGAAAGACACUUCAGCUGGAAGAUGCGGAUGGGAAGAAAAGAUAGGAUGCUGACCCUCCUAAAGGGGCUUGCUCACCUGUGAGGAUACUUGCUCUGCAAGAUAAAGUAAAAUUCCAGAUGACAGCCUGUUUUGAUGAUGUAGCCUUUGCUGACAACCCAGAAGCACAAACACGUGGGAAGAGCUGCUGUUAGAAAGUCUCCCUUGAAAUGCAAAUGAUGGCUGAUGGUACAAAUUCUGAAGUGCAGGGAGAAUGCAUCUGAUGGAGAUGCAUGGAGAGUAUGAACAUCCUGCCAGGCAAGUAACGACUGGAGAUCAUAGGGUUCAUUGCUAGGUAA